rnacentral:rRNA from 1 species
AUUGAACGCUGGCGGCAUGCUUUACACAUGCAAGUCGAACGGUAACAGGCCGCAAGGUGCUGACGAGUGGCGAACGGGUGAGUAAUGCAUCGGAACGUGCCCAGUCGUGGGGGAUAACUACUCGAAAGAGUAGCUAAUACCGCAUACGAUCUAUGGAUGAAAGCGGGGGACCGUAAGGCCUCGCGCGAUUGGAGCGGCCGAUGUCAGAUUAGGUAGUUGGUGGGGGUAAAGGCUCACCAAGCCAACGAUCUGUAGCUGGUCUGAGAGGACGACCAGCCACACUGGGACUGAGACACGGCCCAGACUCCUACGGGAGGCAGCAGUGGGGAAUUUUGGACAAUGGGCGCAAGCCUGAUCCAGCAAUGCCGCGUGCAGGAAGAAGGCCUUCGGGUUGUAAACUGCUUUUGUACGGAACGAAACGGCUCUGGUUAAUACCCGGGGCUAAUGACGGUACCGUAAGAAUAAGCACCGGCUAACUACGUG